CAAAGAGGCCCCAUAACACGGCCUACCAAAGAGGCCCCAUUAACAACUGUUUAACUUGUAGGGGUGUACCGAGACACCCCUACACCCCCAGAUUCAGAGCCACCGAUGAGCUCGAACCUACCAACCAAUUGAACCACUCCAGCCUAAUCCAGCCUAAACCUUGCCAUGACCACUUCAUACUCCACCUGCUUCCCAUUUAUCCUAGCCCUUCCCCGCCGCUGUGA